rnacentral:rRNA from 1 species
AUUGAACGCUGGCGGCAUGCUUUACACAUGCAAGUCGAACGGUAACAGGCCGCAAGGUGCUGACGAGUGGCGAACGGGUGAGUAAUGCAUCGGAACGUGCCCAGUCGUGGGGGAUAACGCAGCGAAAGCUGCGCUAAUACCGCAUACGAUCUCUGGAUGAAAGCGGGGGACCGAAAGGCCUCGCGCGAUUGGAGCGGCCGAUGUCAGAUUAGGUAGUUGGUGGGGUAAAGGCCCACCAAGCCAACGAUCUGUAGCUGGUCUGAGAGGACGACCAGCCACACGGGGACUGGGACACGGCCCAGACGCCUACGGGAGGCAGCAGUGGGGAAUGUUGGACAAUGGGCGCAAGCCUGAUCCAGCAAUGCCGCGUGCAGGAAGAAGGCCUUCGGGUUGUAAACUGCUUUUGUACGGAACGAAACGGUCCGGGUUAAUACCCUGGGCUAAUGACGGUACCGUAAGAAUAAGCACCGGCUAACUACGUGCCAGCAGCCGCAGUAAUAC